UCCGAUUGAUCCCGUCGGACCCCACUGCUAUCGAGAUGGGACUAAAGUAUGCUAGUCGAACGACCAGAACUAUGUCUGGAAGUGGCACACUGCUCAGUAACACGUAGCUAACCUACCCUUAGGACGUGGAUACCCCCGAGAAAUUGGGGUUAAUCCGCGAUAGAUGUAAUGUCCUGGAAUGGUAUUACGUCUAAAGGUAUUUCAUACAUGUUUGAAAUAUGCCUAAGGAUGGGGCUGCGGCCGAUCAGGCUGUUGGUGAGGUAAUGGCUCACCAAACCUUUGACCGGUACGGGCCAUGAGAGUGGUAGCCCGGAGAUGGACACUGAGACAAGGGUCCAGGCCCUAAGGGGCGCAGCAACCGCGAAACCUCCACAAUGCACUCACGUGCGAUGGGGCUAUCUCGAGUGCCACCUGAUGAAGGUGGCUUUUUCCUUGGUCUUCAAAGCCUUGGGAAUAAGAGGGGGGCAAGACUGGUGUCAGCCGCCGCGGUAACACCAGCCCCUCGAGUGGUGGGGAUGAUUAUUUGGCCUAAAGCGUCCGUAGCCGGCCGAGCAAGUCUUCCGUUAAAUCCAGCGUCUCAAGCGUUGGACCGCGGGAGAUACUACACGGCUAGAGAGUGGGAGAGGUCAGCGGUAUUCUGGGGGUAGGGGCGAAAUCCUUUGAUCCCCGGAGGACCACCAGUGGCGAAGGCUGCUGACUAGAACACGUCUGACGGUCAGGGACGAAAGCUGGGGUAGCGAACCGGAUUAGAUACCCGGGUAGUCCCAGCCGUAAACGAUGCAUGCUAGGUGUUGGGUUGGCCACGAGCCACCCCAGUGCCGCAGGGAAGCCGUUAAGCAUGCCGCCUGGGAAGUACGAUCGCAAGAUUGAAACUUAAAGGAAUUGGCGGGGGAGCACCACCAGGCGUGAAGCCUGCGGUUUAAUUGGAGUCAACGCCGGGAACCUUACCGGGAGCGACAGCAGAAUGAAGGCCAGAUUGAAGAUCUUGCCAGACGAGCUGAGAGGAGGUGCAUGGCCGUCGCCAGUUCGUGCCGUGAGGUGUUCUCUUAAGUGAGAUAACGAACGAGACCCGUGCCACAUGUUGCCACCAGUAUCUAAAGGAUAGCUGAGCACUCUUGUGGGACCGCAGCCGAUAAGGCUGAGGAAGGUACGGGCAACGGCAGGUCAGUAUGCCCCGAAUCUCCCGGGCCACACGCGGGCUGCAAUGGUACAGACAGAGGGCUGCCACCCCGAAAGGGGGAGCCAAUCCCUAAACUGUACCUCAGUUGGGAUCGAGGGUUGCAACCCACCCUCGUGAACAUGGAAUGCCUAGUAACCGCCAGUCAUCAUCUGGCGGUGAAUACGUCCCUGCUCCUUGCACACACUGCCCGUCGAACCACCCGAAUGAGGUUUGGGUGAGGAAUGGUCGAAUGUUGGCCGUUUCGAACCUGGGCCUCGUAAGGAGGGUUAAGUCGUAACAAGGUG
rnacentral:rRNA from 1 species